GACAGAGGGUGCAAGCGUUGUUCGGAAUUACUGGGCGUAAAGCGUGCGCAGGCGGUUGUGUAAGUCAGAUGUGAAAUCCCCGGGCUCAACCUGGGAAUUGCAUUUGAGACUGCACGGCUAGAGUGUGUCAGAGGGGGGUAGAAUUCCACGUGUAGCAGUGAAAUGCGUAGAGAUGUGGAGGAAUACCGAUGGCGAAGGCAGCCCCCUGGGAUAACACUGACGCUCAUGCACGAAAGCGUGGGGAGCAAACAGG
rnacentral:rRNA from 1 species